CGAAAAACGAGGAAGAGAAGGAGUACCUGUUUUCGGGCUGCCUAGAGAAGAGAUGGCUGGUGAAAAUCUCUCAGGCGAUGACAGGGAAGGUAGUCUUGGAGUUCUGCACGGGAAGCCGCAAAGCGGUGUGUAGUGUGCAGCGGGUUCUCCCGUUAUCGAGAACGCAAAUCCCUUGAUUUGCAUGAGUGCAGAGAAGAAUUCUCUGAAUGCAGGUGGUAACACGGACGCAAAUCGUUCGCCCUGAGC
rnacentral:ncRNA from 1 species